rnacentral:rRNA from 1 species
AACGUAGGUGGCGAGCGUUAUCCGGAAUUACUGGGCGUAAAGCGUGUGCAGGCGGGCUGACAAGUGGGGUAUGAAAUCUUGCGGCUUAACCGGGAGCGGUUAUGCCAGACUGUCAGUCUUGAGUGCGAGAGAGGAGCGUGGAAUUCCGGGUGUAGUGGUGAAAUGCGCAGAUAUCAGGAGGAACACCGAUGGCGAAGGCAGGUCUCUGGGCCACGACUGACGCUGAGGCGCGAAAGCCAGGGGAGCGAACGGG